GCACACAAUACAGAGAUCAUCAUGGCUACUGCACAAGGAUGUCAUGCAAAUUCAUCAACGUUCCCACAAUUUU
ensembl:snRNA Gm25049 predicted gene, 25049